ACAAGCUCUUGACUUAGUCCUUUAUUUAAACAAUUACAUUUCCUAAAUCUUCCCUUGUGCUAAGCAUGGUCCCCAAGAAACAUACCUCUGAAAGGGAGGAAGAAGAUAUAGUCUCAUUCUUCAAAAGACAAGUAUCCAAGCCAGCUGUACUUCCAGCCCAAGAAUGGGAGAGCAGCCUCCUAUUGCCAUGUUGUGAUGUUACCUUCUAUCAUCCACUUACUGUGAUUUAGAAUUCAAACCCAAGUUCUCCUUGAUGUGUGAUACUGUGGUCAGAAGACCUUGGAGGCACCACAAGGUCCCAACACCAGAGAUCAACACUGGCUUCACAUUUCACGACAUCAGCAAAUUAAAUCCACAAACAACAGGUAUUUUGCCACAGUAAUGAAAAAAGUAACUAAUACAGAUACACACUGAUGAAUACCAUAUGUGUAAGCCUUAAUUCAAAGAUUCAUUAAAUCUUUAUAAACAGC